rnacentral:misc_RNA from 1 species
UUUUUUAGUUUUGUUUUUUGUUACAUUCUUUAACUAGUGUUUAAAAUGAAGCCGCUCGAUAUAUCAAACGCUUGCGCGCCGUCAAUAUCAAGCCAAAUGGUGCACAAGUGUUGGAGAGUGGAGGUCAGGCCUCUAACCGAAGUUAGAGCACCCUAAAAUUCACUAAUGAUCCUUCCGCAGGUUCACCUACGGAAA